UCAGGUGACAGUCCUCCGGAGACUUUACAUCGUCAAAUGAACCAACAAAGAAAAAUUCUUAAUUGAGAAAGGCGGUACUAAUUCCUUUCGUUGGGAGAGCUCUUACACAUUCCCCGAGGGACGAAUACCAGAAAUAGGAGAAUGGAAGGAAUAAAGCGACUACACCAUCCUCAACUGACACACAAAAGGGGACACUAGGCGAACUAGUCAAAGACUAAGAGACAUUAGAUAGAGGAAAAGGUACCUGAUACGAAUAAGCGAUGGAGCUAUUUAGCCGGUUGGCUACAUCAGACCAGAAGUCAUCUCCUCCCCAGGCUUCUUGGAGCUAGGCCAAAACUC
rnacentral:lncRNA from 1 species